CUUCCGCCAUCGGCUCCCCGGCAGAGGCGAUCGCUGCUGUGAAGGAUGGAGAUUAUGCAGUCUUCGAGCUUUUAGUGGGUGAGACUCUAGGGUGGGGCUCAGUCUCAGUGCUCAAGUACGCAAACGUGAUUUGAAGUUGAGAAUAGUGAUCCUGCGCCCGGCCGGAGGUUUCCCCCGCGGAUUCCGACCUACGGAAGCCCGGGAGGACCAAGCUUAUUAAUGCCGCCGAAUGCGUGCGGGGCAGGGAUGCGCGGCUGUGCGGCGCCGCCUGGUUCCUUUUGAUCUCUGCGGAUGGAGCCUCCCCUGGCCCCCCGUGCCCAAAACGCCUUAGGCUCCGGCUUCUUCCCUGCUCCUCCUCUUCAGGAGUCAGCCAGCUAGACCUGAAAGGGUCCAAGGCAGCCCCGGGAGGACCCUGUGCCUGCUGCCGAGCCUCGGGCCUGGCCCCUUCCGCUGGGAUGGGCUUGGGCAAGAGGUAAACCUCUCGGGGCCUGUAUCCUCUUUGGCACCGCGGGGGUUACACCCUGCCUAUCCCUGGAUCUGUUGUGGGGGUUAAGUGGGAAGCCCCCGUGUGUGGUUCAUGGUAACCCCCGUCUCCUGACUCUCGAGAAAUAUAGCCUGCCAGGAACAUGGGAGCCAUGUUUGUUCUUGCCCAGAAAACUGCGGUUUCCCGUCACUCUCUCUUUCGCUCAUUGACCGAACAAGACUGGGUACCCAAUUCACAAUUCUUCUCCGUCAGUAGUCCCGUGAAUUACCUUCCUCCCCCUGCCCUGUGUGUCGUGUGUUGAGAAAUUUUGCUUUCAAUCACUGAAACGUUUACUGGGCAUCUAUUAUUCGCUGCAGACUGUUGGGCACCACGCUCCACAGUGAAGAUAAUGGUAAAUAAGACAUGACGUUGCACUCGAGGAGCCUCUGGACCAAAGAUGACCACGGAGACCUACUACCGUGUAGUUUAGGGCUUAUAAAGCUUGUGGUGCAGGGAGAGCUGGUGCGAGCCUGCCAGGUGGGGCACAUGUCGAGACUCCUGGCGGGCGGGAAGGGCUUCGCCAACGCUACCGUAUACAUUUAGAGGACGCACACGCCACGCAGUAGCUCUCACUUGAACCGUCUUCAGAUGGACCUAGUUAUCCCGUGCCUGUUGGUUACACCACCAGCUACAUCCAGGAGAGGUUUCUUAGUUAACCGCCGCUAAAGCCAACUCUAACCAGCCCGAGCAAAAUACUGCCACUAAUGAUGACCGCGACAGUAACCGUUAUAAUCAUAAAAUACAUGUGCAUGUGCAGGUUGUUAAAA